rnacentral:rRNA from 1 species
GGUUAAGUUAAUAAGGGCGCACGGUGGAUGCCUUGGCACUAGGAGCCGACGAAGGACGUGACAAACGACGAUAUGCCUUGGGUAGCUGUAAGUAAGCGAUGAUCCAGGGAUUUCCGAAUGGGGGAACCCAACAGGUAGUACCUGUUACCCACAUCUGUUAAGGAUGUGAGGAGGAAGACGCAGUGAACUGAAACAUCUAAGUAGCUGCAGGAAGAGAAAGCAAAAGCGAUUGCCUUAGUAGCGGCGAGCGAAACGGCAGGAGGGCAAACCGAAGAGUUUACUCUUCGGGGUUGUAGGACUGCAAUGUGGACUCAAAGAUUAUAGAAGAAUGAUUUGGGAAGAUCAGCCAAAGAGAGUAAUAGCCUCGUAUUUAAAAUAGUCUUUGUACUUAGCAGUAUCCUGAGUACGGCGGGACACGUGAAAUCCCGUCGGAAUCUGGGAGGACCAUCUCCCAACCCUAAAUACUCCCUAGUGACCGAUAGUGAACCAGUACCGUGAGGGAAAGGUGAAAAGCACCCCGGGAGGGGAGUGAAAUAGAACCUGAAACCGUGUGCCUACAACAAGUUCGAGCCCGUUAAUGGGUGAGAGCGUGCCUUUUGUAGAAUGAACCGGCGAGUUACGUUAUGAUGCGAGGUUAAGUUGAAGAGACGGAGCCGUAGGGAAACCGAGUCUGAAUAGGGCGCCUUAGUAUCAUGACGUAGACCCGAAACCAUGUGACCUACCCAUGAGCAGGUUGAAGGUGCGGUAAGACGCACUGGAGGACCGAACCAGGGCACGUUGAAAAGUGCUUGGAUGACUUGUGGGUAGCGGAGAAAUUCCAAACGAACUUGGAGAUAGCUGGUUCUCUCCGAAAUAGCUUUAGGGCUAGCGUCGACAUUAGAGAUUCUUGGAGGUAGAGCACUGUUUGGGUGAGGGGUCCAUCCCGGAUUACCAAUCUCAGAUAAACUCCGAAUGCCAAUGAAUUAUGGUCGGCAGUCAGACUGCGAGUGCUAAGAUCCGUAGUCGAAAGGGAAACAGCCCAGACCACCAGCUAAGGUCCCAAAAUAAUUGUUAAGUGGAAAAGGAUGUGGGGUUGCACAGACAACUAGGAUGUUAGCUUAGAAGCAGCUAUUCAUUCAAAGAGUGCGUAAUAGCUCACUAGUCGAGUGACCCUGCGCCGAAAAUGUACCGGGGCUAAAACAAUUUACCGAAGCUGUGGAUACCUUUAUAGGUAUGGUAGGAGAGCGUUCUAUGUGUGAUGAAGGUAUACCGUGAGGAGUGCUGGAACGCAUAGAAGUGAGAAUGCCGGUAUGAGUAGCGAAAGACAGGUGAGAAUCCUGUCCACCGUAAGACUAAGGUUUCCAGGGGAAGGCUCGUCCGCCCUGGGUUAGUCGGGACCUAAGGAGAGACCGAAAGGUGUAUCCGAUGGACAACAGGUUGAUAUUCCUGUACUAGAGUAUGUAGUGAUGGAGGGACGCAGUAGGCUAACUAAAGCAGACGAUUGGAAGAGUCUGUCUAAGCAGUGAGGUGUGAAUUGAGUCAAAUGCUUAAUUCUAUAACAUUGAGCUGUGAUGGGGAGCGAAGUUUAGUAGCGAAGUUAGUGACGUCACACUGCCAAGAAAAGCUUCUAGCGUUUAAACAUACUCUACCCGUACCGCAAACCGACACAGGUAGUCGAGGCGAGUAGCCUCAGGUGAGCGAGAGAACUCUCGUUAAGGAACUCGGCAAAAUGACCCCGUAACUUCGGGAGAAGGGGUGCUGACUUUAAGUCAGCCGCAGUGAAUAGGCCCAAGCAACUGUUUAUCAAAAACACAGCUCUCUGCUAAAUCGUAAGAUGAUGUAUAGGGGGUGACGCCUGCCCGGUGCUGGAAGGUUAAGAGGAGUGCUUAGCGUAAGCGAAGGUAUGAAUUGAAGCCCCAGUAAACGGCGGCCGUAACUAUAACGGUCCUAAGGUAGCGAAAUUCCUUGUCGGGUAAGUUCC